rnacentral:piRNA from 1 species
UAUAAGUUCAACUGCACAUCG